rnacentral:rRNA from 1 species
CCUACGGGAGGCUGCAGUGAGGAAUAUUGGUCAAUGGCCGCAGGGCUGAACCAGCCAAGUCGCGUGAGGGAUGACGGUCCUAUGGAUUGUAAACCUCUUUUGUCAGGGAGCAAAGGGCGCCACGUGUGGCGCUUUGCGAGUACCUGAAGAAAAAGCAUCGGCUAACUCCGUGCCAGCAGCCGCGGUAAUACGGAGGAUGCGAGCGUUAUCCGGAUUUAUUGGGUUUAAAGGGGGCGCAGGCGGAAUGUCAAGUCAGCGGUAAAAUUUCGGGGCUCAACCCCGUCGUGCCGUUGAAACUGGCGUUCUUGAGUGAGCGAGAAGUAUGCGGAAUGCGUGGUGUAGCGGUGAAAUGCAUAGAUAUCACGCAGAACUCCGAUUGCGAAGGCAGCAUACCGGCGCUCAACUGACGCUCAUGCACGAAAGCGUGGGUAUCGAACAGGAUUAGAUACCCCUGUAGUC